rnacentral:rRNA from 1 species
CCUACGGGAGGCAGCAGUGAGGAAUAUUGGUCAAUGGGCGGGAGCCUGAACCAGCCAAGUCGCGUGAAGGAAGAAGGUACUUAGUAUUGUAAACUUCUUUUGUCGGGGAACAAAGGCGGAGACGCGUCUCCGGAUGAGUGUACCCGAAGAAAAAGCAUCGGCUAACUCCGUGCCAGCAGCCGCGGUAAUACGGAGGAUGCGAGCGUUAUCCGGAUUUAUUGGGUUUAAAGGGUGCGUAGGCGGGCUGUUAAGUCAGCGGUCAAAUGUCGGGGCUCAACCCCGGCCUGCCGUUGAAACUGGCGGCCUCGAGUGGGCGAGAAGUAUGCGGAAUGCGUGGUGUAGCGGUGAAAUGCAUAGAUAUCACGCAGAACUCCGAUUGCGAAGGCAGCAUACCGGCGCCCGACUGACGCUGAGGCACGAAAGCGUGGGUAUCAAACAGGAUUAGAUACCCGGGUAGUC